rnacentral:rRNA from 1 species
AGCGUACACGGUGGAUGCCCUGGCAGUCAGAGGCGAUGAAGGACGUGCUAAUCUGCGAUAAGCGUCGGUAAGGUGAUAUGAACCGUUAUAACCGGCGAUUUCCGAAUGGGGAAACCCAGUGUGAUUCGUCACACUAUCAUUAACUGAAUCCAUAGGUUAAUGAGGCGAACCGGGGGAACUGAAACAUCUAAGUACCCCGAGGAAAAGAAAUCAACCGAGAUUCCCCCAGUAGCGGCGAGCGAACGGGGAGCAGCCCAGAGCCUGAAUCAGUGUGUGUGUUAGUGGAAGCGUCUGGAAAGGCGCGCGAUACAGGGUGACAGCCCCGUACACAAAAAUGCACAUACUGUGAGCUCGAUGAGUAGGGCGGGACACGUGGUAUCCUGUCUGAAUAUGGGGGGACCAUCCUCCAAGGCUAAAUACUCCUGACUGACCGAUAGUGAACCAGUACCGUGAGGGAAAGGCGAAAAGAACCCCGGCGAGGGGAGUGAAAAAGAACCUGAAACCGUGUACGUACAAGCAGUGGGAGCCUCUUUAUGGGGUGACUGCGUACCUUUUGUAUAAUGGGUCAGCGACUUAUAUUCUGUAGCAAGGUUAACCGAAUAGGGGAGCCGAAGGGAAACCGAGUCUUAACUGGGCGUUAAGUUGCAGGGUAUAGACCCGAAACCCGGUGAUCUAGCCAUGGGCAGGUUGAAGGUUGGGUAACACUAACUGGAGGACCGAACCGACUAAUGUUGAAAAAUUAGCGGAUGACUUGUGGCUGGGGGUGAAAGGCCAAUCAAACCGGGAGAUAGCUGGUUCUCCCCGAAAGCUAUUUAGGUAGCGCCUCGUGAACUCAUCUCCGGGGGUAGAGCACUGUUUCGGCAAGGGGGUCAUCCCGACUUACCAACCCGAUGCAAACUGCGAAUACCGGAGAAUGUUAUCACGGGAGACACACGGCGGGUGCUAACGUCCGUCGUGAAGAGGGAAACAACCCAGACCGCCAGCUAAGGUCCCAAAGUCAUGGUUAAGUGGGAAACGAUGUGGGAAGGCCCAGACAGCCAGGAUGUUGGCUUAGAAGCAGCCAUCAUUUAAAGAAAGCGUAAUAGCUCACUGGUCGAGUCGGCCUGCGCGGAAGAUGUAACGGGGCUAAACCAUGCACCGAAGCUGCGGCAGCGACACUAUGUGUUGUUGGGUAGGGGAGCGUUCUGUAAGCCUGCGAAGGUGUACUGUGAGGUAUGCUGGAGGUAUCAGAAGUGCGAAUGCUGACAUAAGUAACGAUAAAGCGGGUGAAAAGCCCGCUCGCCGGAAGACCAAGGGUUCCUGUCCAACGUUAAUCGGGGCAGGGUGAGUCGACCCCUAAGGCGAGGCCGAAAGGCGUAGUCGAUGGGAAACAGGUUAAUAUUCCUGUACUUGGUGUUACUGCGAAGGGGGGACGGAGAAGGCUAUGUUGGCCGGGCGACGGUUGUCCCGGUUUAAGCGUGUAGGCUGGUUUUCCAGGCAAAUCCGGAAAAUCAAGGCUGAGGCGUGAUGACGAGGCACUACGGUGCUGAAGCAACAAAUGCCCUGCUUCCAGGAAAAGCCUCUAAGCAUCAGGUAACAUCAAAUCGUACCCCAAACCGACACAGGUGGUCAGGUAGAGAAUACCAAGGCGCUUGAGAGAACUCGGGUGAAGGAACUAGGCAAAAUGGUGCCGUAACUUCGGGAGAAGGCACGCUGAUAUGUAGGUGAAGUCCCUCGCGGAUGGAGCUGAAAUCAGUCGAAGAUACCAGCUGGCUGCAACUGUUUAUUAAAAACACAGCACUGUGCAAACACGAAAGUGGACGUAUACGGUGUGACGCCUGCCCGGUGCCGGAAGGUUAAUUGAUGGGGUCAGCGCAAGCGAAGCUCUUGAUCGAAGCCCCGGUAAACGGCGGCCGUAACUAUAACGGUCCUAAGGUAGCGAAAUUCCUUGUCGGGUAAGUUCCGACCUGCACGAAUGGCGUAAUGAUGGCCAGGCUGUCUCCACCCGAGACUCAGUGAAAUUGAACUCGCUGUGAAGAUGCAGUGUACCCGCGGCAAGACGGAAAGACCCCGUGAACCUUUACUAUAGCUUGACACUGAACAUUGAGCCUUGAUGUGUAGGAUAGGUGGGAGGCUUUGAAGUGUGGACGCCAGUCUGCAUGGAGCCGACCUUGAAAUACCACCCUUUAAUGUUUGAUGUUCUAACGUGGACCCGUGCGAGGUAAGGGACACUGUCUGGUGGGUAGUUUGACUGGGGCGGUCUCCUCCCAAAGAGUAACGGAGGAGCACGAAGGUUAGCUAAUCCUGGUCGGACAUCAGGAGGUUAGUGCAAUGGCAAAAGCUAGCUUGACUGCGAGAGUGACGGCUCGAGCAGGUACGAAAGUAGGUCAUAGUGAUCCGGUGGUUCUGAAUGGAAGGGCCAUCGCUCAACGGAUAAAAGGUACUCCGGGGAUAACAGGCUGAUACCGCCCAAGAGUUCAUAUCGACGGCGGUGUUUGGCA